AGGACAAACGCUGGCGGCGUGCUUAACACAUGCAAGUCGAGCGGAAAGGCCCUUCGGGUACGUCGAGCGGCGAACGGGUGAGUAACACGUGAGCAACCUGCCCUUAGCUCCGGGAUAGCUCCGGGAAACCGGAAUUAAUACCGGAUACGACCACAGCCGACAUCUGCUGUGGUGGAAAGGAUUCCGGCUAAGGAUGGGCUCGCGGCCUAUCAGCUAGUUGGUGGAGUAACGGCCCACCAAGGCGACGACGGGU
rnacentral:rRNA from 1 species